rnacentral:rRNA from 1 species
CCCAGACUCCUACGGGAGGCAGCAGUGGGGAAUAUUGGGCAAUGGGCGCAAGCCUGACCCAGCAACGCCGCGUGAAGGAAGAAGGCUUUCGGGUUGUAAACUUCUUUUCUCAGGGACGAAGCAAGUGACGGUACCUGAGGAAUAAGCCACGGCUAACUACGUGCCAGCAGCCGCGGUAAUACGUAGGUGGCAAGCGUUAUCCGGAUUUACUGGGUGUAAAGGGCGUAUAGGCGGGAAAGCAAGUCAGAUGUGAAAACCAGGGGCUCAACCUGUGGCCUGCAUUUGAAACUGUUUUUCUUGAGUACUGGAGAGGCAGGCGGAAUUCCUAGUGUAGCGGUGAAAUGCGUAGAUAUACGGAGGAACACCAGUGGCGAAGGCGGAUUGCUGGACAGUAACUGACGCUGGGGCGCGAAAGCGUGGGGAGCAAACAGGAUUAGAUACCCGAGUA